UACGGAGGAUGCAAGCGUUAUCCGGAAUGAUUGGGCGUAAAGCGUCCGCGGGUGGCUAUGUAAGUCUGCUGUUAAAGAGUGAGGCUCAACCUCAUAAGAGCAGUGGAAACUACAUGGCUAGAGUGCGUUCGGGGCAGAGGGAAUUCCUGGUGUAGCGGUGAAAUGCGUAGAUAUCAGGAAGAACACCGGUGGCGAAAGCGCUCUGCUAGGCCGCAACUGACACUGAGGGACGAAAGCUAGGGGAGCGAAUGGG
rnacentral:rRNA from 1 species